AAUGUUGUCGGGGAGUCGACUAUAACAACCAGUGUUACUGUACAGUAUGGACCUGGAGACAGUGUUGUAUUUGAUCCACCACAAGACAGUGUAGAUAUUAUUGAGAAUCAGACCAUCUCAGAUGUCAGGUGUUCCGCUGACUGUAGACCAGCGUGUGCCUACACCUGGUCUAGAUCAGGUACAGAUUACACAAACCCACUGAGUCUGUCUGUGGCCACGAGGACCAACGCCGGACAAUACACGUGUACAGCCAGAAACACUGUCAGUCAGGGAACAAAGACUUGGAACCUUAUUGUCAGAUUUCCACCACGAAUUCUCAGUCUUGAUUACACUGACGGUAAUUCUGACGUGGCUGAAAAUGGACCUAAGUCGCUAGUGUGUACGGUGGAGAGCUUCCCUCCGUCCACAAUACAGUGGUUCUAUAAAGCCAACAACACAGUUCUACUGACCACCCCAGACGUCCUGGAGAGUAGCUACACCCUGACUAACGCUGAAUGUCUGGACACCGGACUCUACACCUGUUCUGUCAGAAACAGUGUCUCUAACACAGCAGUCACCAGGGAUAUAUCUGUCAACGUU